rnacentral:rRNA from 1 species
CUAGCGUUGUUCGGAAUUACUGGGCGUAAAGCGCGUGUAGGCGGUUAUCCACGUCAGGUGGGAAAGCCUUGAGCUCAACUCAAGAAAUGCACUUGGUACUGGGUGACUAGAGGACCGGAGAGGAUAGUGGAAUUCCCAGUGUAGUGGUGAAAUACGUAGAGAUUGGGAAGAACACCAGUGGCGAAGGCGGCUAUCUGGACGGUUUCUGACGCUAAGACGCGAAAGCGUGGGGAGCAAACAGG